UCCUGUUCUUCUUCUUCCUCUUUUCUUUCUUUUCCUUUUCCUUUUCUUCUUCCUUCUAACAGAGUCGGAACCGAGCCCGCUACGAUCCGACCCAAGCCUGCCGGGCCUCCUGACCUGCCUCUGCACACGCCAAUUCCUCUGCACACGCCAACGAAUUUCGUGCACGCCAUCUCUCUCUCUCUCUCUCGGUUUUUUUCAAAAAAAAUCGAAACUCACGGACAAAAACAGAAGAGCUCGUUCGAAAAAAACCCGGAGCUCGUUCGGAGGAUUUCACCCACAGCUCACAACGCCCGAACCUCUCAGCUCCCGGCUCUCUCUCCCGCACGAUUCUUCUCGUCCCCCCAGCUCACCCGGGGACCCCCCAGCUCGAAGUACCCGAAACUUCGCUGCCCCUUAGCUCGUUCGAUCCUCCAAAAAAAAAAAACCGCAGCUCACGACGCCCUCUGCUCCGACACUCCCUCUCGGAACUCCCGGCUCUCAGCUCGCCGGUGCCACGGCCUAAUCACUCGUCGGCGCAGCCGUGCCGGCUCAACAGUUUAGCUCAGCCCAGUCCAGCGGCCCAGCCCGCGUCCAGUGGCCUAGCCCAAUUCGCGCUAGCCCAGCCCAGCGAGCGGUCCAGCAAGCCGUUCAGCCCAGCUCGGCCCAAUCUAAUCCGAACCUCAGCCCGGUGAGCAGCCCAGCAGGCCUGUUCGGCCCAAUCUCCCUCAGCAGCCCAACUUCCAGCGUUUUUUUGUUUUUUUUUUAAUUUUUCCUUAUUUACAGAAUCACCCCGCAACUUCCCGAACUAGGUAAAUCCUUAACUUAAUGGCAUGAUUAGGGCUCCAUUUCUGAAUAUUAAUGUUUGCUUGAUAAAUAUGAUGUGCAAUGAGCGUUAUUGGGUCGUGUGGGUGAUCGGAUUCGUCCCGAACUCGAUUUUACGAACUUUCCGUUUUGUCUCAUUUCAGUCCAGAGGACGCAUUUUUAUUUUUUCAGAACUGCCCCAAAUUUUCAAAUUCUUUUCAGCCAAGUCCCAGUCAUUUUUACCAUUUCCCAUUCAGUCCUGGAAUUUUUCAGAAUUUUUCAAGCACUCCAAGGAACUUUUCAAGUUGUUUCAGUUUAGUCCCGGGGGCAUUUUCGCCUUUUUCAGAUCCGCCCCGAAUUUUAAAAAUUAUUUCCGUCCAAGUCCCGGCCAUUUUAAUAUUUCCUGAUCAGUCCUUGAAAUUUUCAGAAUUUUCUAAAUCAGUUCCGGAACUUUUUGCUUCGUUUCAGUUCAGUCCUCGGGGAAUUUUUUCACUUUUCAGAUUAGCCCGAACUUUCAAAUUGGUUCCAAAGGAGUCCUAGGACAUUUUCAAUAAUUCUUACACAGUCCCCAAUGUUCCAGAAUUUCCAAAUCAGUCCCCGAAACUUUAUCCGAAUUUUCAAAUCAGUCCCUGCUCUUUAAAAGUCGUUCAAAUCAGUCCUUGUGCAUUUUCUAAAAAUAUCCAACCCCUACCUACUUGGAUCCCCGAUCGACAACGUGUGUGCCCCGUUUAAAUAUUUUGUUCUUGUAGUUAUUUUGCAUACAACGUGAUGAUGCGUGCUCUUUGCAUGAUUUUUGGCUCGCAUGAGUCGGUGCCGUUUUAUUAAUUUUAUCAACAUUAUGUUUGCGUAUGCUUGUAUGUGUUUAUCAUGAUCAUGGCGGCACCGAUUGUGUAAAUUUGCAUAUUUGUUGUGCUUGACGUGAUAAUGUGCUCUUGAUCCGUGUUUAAAUGCUUUAUUUUCUCGUUCUUGAUCGAAACCUCAUAUGAAUCGACUCAAUCAUGUAAACUCGACCUAAAAUCAAUUUGUUUUCAAUCCCAAGAUGGUUGGGAAUUAGGAUUCGCAUCGGACGGUCUAUCAAUGAUCAGCUCGACAAUCCGAAACUCGCAUAUUUAGAGCAUUUGGCAAAA